AGGAUAUUGAGAUGGAUCCGCGAAGAGGAAGAGAGGAUAGCAGCCAACAAAGAAACUGCAAUCAAAUGUGUAAUUAUCGACAUGACAGCUGUAUCAACCAUAGAUUCAAGUUGAAUCGACACUAUAUGUGAACUAAGAAGGACGCUGGAUAAACGAUCUCUUAAGCUUAUGCUGGCAAAUCCAGGUGGGAAUGUUAUGGAAAAGUUGCAUGAAUCUAGUGCUCUUGAGGGCUUCGGAUUAAAUGGAAUAUAUCUAACUGUUUCUGAAGCAGUGGCUGAUAUCUCAUCUUUGUGGAAGA